rnacentral:lncRNA from 1 species
ACCGCAUCUUUAGGACCCUAGUUUUUUGUGACAGCGUCACCUGUCGGAUUGGAUCAUGGAUGCGCUAAUGGACGACACGGAUGACAAGGAAAGUGCCAUCGUACAUCCUCUGGGUGUCUUGAGGAGCUGGUCUUUGGAUAAUGCUGAGCAGGUCUUUCUUUCUGGUAAAGAUUAUCAUUACAGGAGCUAAAGUCUACAGCCAGUCUGAAUGCAGCAACUGAAUAAACAGUGGGGUCAUUUUUGUGGUUGAAUUGCAUUAUUAAAAAUAAAAGUGUGGAUAUUUAUAUAAA